AGUAGGGGUGGGGUUUCACCAUGUUGGCCAGGCUGGUCUAGAACUCCUGACUUCAAGUGAUCCACCCACC
ensembl:miRNA